GAUGAACGCUAGCGGGAGGCUUAAUACAUGCAAGUCGAACGGUAAGGCCCCUUCGGGGGUACACGAGUGGCGAACGGGUGAGUAACGCGUACGCAAUUUACCUCUAACUGAGGAAUAGCCCCGAGAAAUUGGGAUUAAUACCUCAUAAUAUCAAAAUACGGCAUCGUAUUUUGAUUAAAACUCCGGUGGUUAGGGAUGAGCGUGCGUCCCAUUAGUUUGUUGGUAAGGUAACGGCUUACCAAGACUACGAUGGGUAGCUGGCGUGAGAGCGCGAUCAGCCACACGGGCACUGAGACACGGGCCCG
rnacentral:rRNA from 1 species